AUACUGGAAAGUGUGCUUGGAUU
rnacentral:piRNA from 1 species